rnacentral:rRNA from 1 species
CAGCAGUAGCCACGGGAAUACAGAGGGUGCGAGCGUUAAUCGGAUUUACUGGGCGUAAAGCGUGCGUAGGCGGCUAAUUGAGUCGGAUGUGAAAUCCCCGAGCUUAACUUGGGAAUUGCAUUCGAUACUGGUUAGCUAGAGUGUGGGAGAGGAUGGUAGAAUUCCAGGUGUAGCGGUGAAAUGCGUAGAGAUCUGGAGGAAUACCGAUGGCGAAGGCAGCCAUCUGGCCUAACACUGACGCUGAGGUACGAAAGCAUGGGGAGCAAACAGGAUUAGAUACCCCGGUAGUCCCUGUCUCUUAUAC